rnacentral:rRNA from 1 species
CAGUCGCCGCGGUAAUACGGAGGGUGCAAGCGUUAAUCGGAAUUACUGGGCGUAAAGCGCACGCAGGCGGUUUGUUAAGUCAGAUGUGAAAUCCCCGAACUUAACUUGGGAACUGCAUUUGAAACUGGCAAGCUAGAGUCUUGUAGAGGGGGGUAGAAUUCCAGGUGUAGCGGUGAAAUGCGUAGAGAUCUGGAGGAAUACCGGUGGCGAAGGCGGCCCCCUGGACAGAGACUGACGCUCAGGUGCGAAAGCGUGGGGAGCAAACAGGAUUAGAUACCCGUGUAGUCCCUGUCUCUUAUAC